UACGUAGGUGACAAGCGUUGUCCGGAUUUACUGGGCGUAAAGAGCGCGCAGGCGGUCGUUCGAGUCGAGUGUGAAAGCCCCCGGCUCAACUGGGGAGGGUCACUCGAUACUGAUCGACUCGAAGGCAGGAGAGGGAAGUGGAAUUCCCGGUGUAGUGGUGAAAUGCGUAGAUAUCGGGAGGAACACCAGUGGCGAAGGCGGCCACCUGGGCUGUACCUGACGCUCCAACACGAAAGCUAGGGGAGCGAACGGG
rnacentral:rRNA from 1 species